GAUGAACGCUGGCGGCGUGCCUAAUACAUGCAAGUCGAGCGAAUGGAUUAAGAGCUUGCUCUUAUGAAGUUAGCGGCGGACGGGUGAGUAACACGUGGGUAACCUGCCCAUAAGACUGGGAUAACUCCGGGAAACCGGGGCUAAUACCGGAUAACAUUUUGAACCGCAUGGUUCGAAAUUGAAAGGCGGCUUCGGCUGUCACUUAUGGAUGGACCCGCGUCGCAUUAGCUAGUUGGUGAGGUAACGGCUCACCAAGGCAACGAUGCGUAGCCGACCUGAGAGGGUGAUCGGCCACGCUGGGAGUGAGACACAGCCCAGACUCCUACGGGAGUCAGCAGUAGGGAAUCUUCCGCAAUGGACGAAAGUCUGACGGAGCAACGCCGCGUGAGUGAUGAAGGCUUUCGGGUCGUAAAACUCUGUUGUUUGGGAAGAACAAGUGCUAGUUGAAUAAGCUGGCACCUUGACGGUACCUAACCAGAAAGCCACGGCUAACUACGUGCCAGCCGCCGCGGUAA
rnacentral:rRNA from 1 species